UCCAUUGAUUAGAUCGAUAGCUCGUGCGAAACUUAAUCGUUUCCCUUGGACAAUAGAUUACUGAAGCAUGUCCUUUCGUCUCGACACGCUCGAUAUUCUUUUCAAGGCAGUUACUCAAGUAAUACGCCAACUCUUUAGACGUUCUGAGCACGUCGCGCGUAUAUUAUUGCUAAUACCUCGAACUUCUACUAGUUCAUUCUUUUCCAAUAAUUUCGAAAUGUUGGUCAAAGUAUCUUCUGAGA
rnacentral:ribozyme from 1 species